GAUGAACGCUGGCGGCGUGCUUAACACAUGCAAGUCGAACGGAAAGGCCCAAGCUUGCUUGGGUACUCGAGUGGCGAACGGGUGAGUAACACGUGGGUGAUCUGCCCUGCACUUCGGGAUAAGCCUGGGAAACUGGGUCUAAUACCGGAUAGGACCACAUUUUGGAUGGUGUGGUGGAAAGUUUUUCGGUGUGGGAUGAGCUCGCGGCCUAUCAGCUUGUUGGUGGGGUAAUGGCCUACCAAGGCGUCGACGGGUAGCCGGCCUGAGAGGGUGUACGGCCGCAUUGGGACUGAGAUGCGGCCCAGGCUCCUACGGGAGGCAGCAGUGGGGAAUAUUGAACAAUGGGCGCAGGCCUGAUGCAGAGACGCCGCGUGGGGGAUGACGGCCUUCGGGUUGUAGACUCCUUUCGCUAGGGACGAAGCGUUAUGUGACGGUACCUGGAGAAGAAGCACCGGCUAACUACGUG
rnacentral:rRNA from 1 species